rnacentral:rRNA from 1 species
GACGAACGCUGGCGGCGUGCUUAACACAUGCAAGUCGAACGGAAAGGCCCUGCUUUUGUGGGGUGCUCGAGUGGCGAACGGGUGAGUAACACGUGAGUAACCUGCCCUUGACUUUGGGAUAACUUCAGGAAACUGGGGCUAAUACCGGAUAGGAGCUCCUGCUGCAUGGUGGGGGUUGGAAAGUUUCUGCGGUUGGGGAUGGACUCGCGGCUUAUCAGCUUGUUGGUGGGGUAGUGGCUUACCAAGGCUUUGACGGGUAGCCGGCCUGAGAGGGUGACCGGCCACACUGGGACUGAGAUACGGCCCAGACUCCUACGGGAGGCAGCAGUGGGGAAUAUUGUACAAUGGGCGGAAGCCUGAUGCAGCAACGCCGCGUGCGGGAUGACGGCCUUCGGGUUGUAAACCGCUUUCGCCUGUGACGAAGCGUGAGUGACGGUAAUGGGUAAAGAAGCACCGGCUAACUACGUG